GUAAACAAUGGGUUUUAAUGCUUUUGAGGCAAUUUGGGGAGUUGACUGAGGAAUAUUUAUAGGGAGAUUAACAGUGUGUUUUAGAGAGAAAAAAUGAACAAUAAAAACAACAACGUGAGAUUCAUUUGUCUAUAGCAGUCGAGCACAUUUAUGAUGUCAAAAUAUCUCUUUUCUUUCCACACAGAGAAAGAAAGUCAUACAGGUUUAGAAGGACAUGAGGAUACACAAAAACUCACAGCGGUCUGGAAGAGAAGACACAUGAAGAAAAAAACAGCCCUCAUGAUUCCUCUCUGUUCUUCUCUUCGUCCUUUUCCCGACUCAGUCUGAUAGACAAAUGAUUAACCGCUGUCAACAGAUAUCUGACAUCAAACUGAAUCAGACAGAAGGGAGAAGAAAAACACGAGAGGGAGGAGAAACACAGCAGCUUCUGCCCGGAAGGGUCAGAGCGGUUGGUACUGCGUCAAUAUCAGAGUUUUGCGUUAGUUGAUAAAAACUGUUUAUUCAGUCAAUAAAAACAAGGUUACAGAAAGAAAACUACUAACAUGAGCCAAACCAACAAAAAAUGUUGUCAUGGAAAACAGAAGCCAGCAAGUGCAUGAGAAGAACUUUCUCAACCCUAAAAAAUCACCACUUCGACCUGUUCUUUUUGUGAAUUAAACGUAGUAGUCAAUGAACCAAGAGUGCAUGCUUGAAAUUGUCCAGAUACCCUUGAAAUUUGAUGCAGUUUCACUUGCCGCCUGCAGAAAAAAACUCUCCGAAACUUAUAUGAACCUGGAAGGAGUGUGUUUGGGACAGAAAUACUCUGUCAUACGUCCAAAUCGCUUUUUGAAACUUUGGCCAUGUUUAACAAAUCCAACUCUUUAACAGUGUAAAUAACUCAGAAUGCAUGAAAUAGCGUUAUGACCAAACAUUCUCCCAGUAACAUUAAUAGAACAUUGUUUAAAGUUAGUUGGUCUUUAAUAAUGUUCUCUAAAUGUUGGAUGUUCGUUUAAUUUGCUUUAAAGGUUGCUACUUGUUUCAGAACGUUCAACUUUCAAAAGUAACGUUCACGUAAUGUUUGCAAAAUGGUAAAAUAGAACUUUCCCUUAUUUUCACUGUUUCCUCAACAUUCAAAAUAACCAAGAAAAUAUGUUUUUAAAACAUUUUGAAAAAUUGGCUGUUUUGAACUUUCUGCAAACAUUUAGAAAUGAGAUUUUAAUGGGAAAACAUUCUUUGUUAGAACAUUUUUUAUUAGCUGGGUAGAAACGUUAAAUGACUACUAAACUACAUUUGGCUUGAAGUGUUUUUUUUUUUAUUUAAUCUGUGAUGGCAGGAUACAAAAACUCUUGUUUGCAUUUGCAAGGUAAAUGUACAGAAUCCAGCUUUUGCAAAUCUAAUCUUAAUGGCGUUUAUAUGUGGUUUAAAAUCUGAUUU